GUGCCACUGAGGAGUCCCACAAUAGGACGAAACGGUCGUCCAGUGC
rfam:Schistosoma mansoni, Puerto Rico, WGS project CABG01000000 data, contig: 0201